rnacentral:tRNA from 1 species
AUUAUAAUGGCAGAUUAGUGCAUAGAAUUUAAGCUUCUAUUAUGAGAUUUCUCUUAUAAUA